GUGGGGAAUCUUGCGCAAUGGGCGAAAGCCUGACGCAGCCAUGCCGCGUGAAUGAUGAAGGUCUUAGGAUUGUAAAAUUCUUUCACCGGGGACGAUAAUGACGGUACCCGGAGAAGAAGCUCCGGCUAACUUCGUGCCAGCAGCCGCGGUAAUACGAAGGUGGCUAGCGUUGCUCGGAAUUACUGGGCGUAAAGGGCGCGUAGGCGGACAGCUUAGUCAGAGGUGAAAGCCCAGGGCUCAACCUUGGAAUUGCCUUUGAUACUGGCUGUCUUGAGUUUGGGAGAGGUGAGUGGAACUCCGAGUGUAGAGGUGAAAUUCGUAGAUAUUCGGAAGAACACCAGUGGCGAAGGCGACUCACUGGCCCAAUACUGACGCUGAGGCGCGAAAGCGUGGGGAGCAAACAGGAUUAGAUACCCGAGUAGUCC
rnacentral:rRNA from 1 species